UUCACGCCAACAUCCACCAUGCACACAAAUAUAAUAUUUAAAGAGUAUCUUACAAAGCCCCAGAUAUUGGCUCUUUCAAUUAAUAUUACCAACAUUCUCCAUAUUCCCAUUGAUCUAUAUUAAUAUAGAUGUCUCAUUUGAAAGGCCUUUCUGGAUGAAGAUUGGAAAGCAAAUCAGAUUAGCUCCUCAGGGCAGGUUAUCCCACGUCAUCUCCACCAGGCUUUGGAAGUAUUUUGGUAAGUAUUAUGUUACUUAGAUUUUUUUUUUUUUUUGACAGUACUUAAUGGAUGAGGGUUUGCACUUUUCUCUUGGCCUUUUUAUUCCAUGUUAUAUUUGAACCUAUUCCUGAAAACUUCUCUCCUCAUUUUCUAGGUAUGAGUUACUAAAAUGAGUAUUAAAGAUGAGUCUCCAGUGAGAAUCUAUUUGAUCUUAAUACAAUACACAUACGUCUGAAUAUUAUUCAAAUAUGAACCCCAAGUGCUAGAAAGCUAUAUGAAAAUAAUUAGCUUAAACAGAUGAAAACAAGUAUUCUGGUAAAUAAUUUCUUGAUAGCAGGUCUACUUUUUCAAAUACGUGUACUUCAGUUAAUUUCUCAUCAAAGUGUCCAUAUGCUUUCUCACAGAUAUGGCUGAAUGAUGAAGUAAAUUUAUCUUUUCAUAAUAAACAGAAGGUUGACAAAAAGUAGUUAAUAAGUUACAUGUCUUACUCCAAUUAGCAUUCGUAAAGGAAAUAGGAAUGUUUUAUACAUGUUUAAGUAUAUAGAAAUAUCUAUUUCCACGUAACUUCUUCCUUUCCAGCCUCAAGAUGUUUGCCAACCCUCCUCUUACCAAAAUGUGGCAGCAAAGACACUUCAUAACUUAAGUGCCCGAGCAGUAUUACUCAUCUCUCCAGAGAAGUUUCACAGCUUCUGUCUGAGGAGUCAAAGGAGAUCACACUUGCAUAGCGACAGGCACACUUCAAGGACACUAUUAAAGAUGAAAGUAUUGGUGGCACACAGGAAUAGCAGGUAUGCCUAAAGGCAGUUUCCAUGGAUGAGUCAGGGUGACUAAUCUCUGUGGGUAUCCCAGUUUCUACAUGUGGAAAGCAGCAUGGCUGUCAUUACCUCCAGUGUUCCCAGGCACUAGACUCUUUGGCUACCAUUUCCUUGACGCCAAGUUUAUUAACUGAAAGGCAACAAUGAAGUGUGACCCUUUUGAGAGGAGAUUUGCAUUUGAACUUACCUCUGAAAGCCUAGGAAUAAAGAAUUGGAAAAGUCACA
rnacentral:lncRNA from 1 species